UACGUAGGGUGCAAGCGUUGUCCGGAAUCAUUGGGCGUAAAGAGCGUGUAGGCGGUCCGGUAAGUCGGCUGUGAAAGUCCAGGGCUCAACCCCUGGGAUGCCGGUCGAUACUGCCGGACUAGAGUUCGGAAGAGGCGAGUGGAAUUCCCGGUGUAGCGGUGAAAUGCGCAGAUAUCGGGAGGAACACCUAUGGCGAAGGCAGCUCGCUGGGACGUUACUGACGCUGAGACGCGAAAGCGUGGGGAGCAAACAGG
rnacentral:rRNA from 1 species